GUGAGAAGCUUAUUUUUAGCCGCAUUUCAAAAUCUAAUUAACAGUGAGUCUCUUUAUCCCUAGGUAAGUUACUUUACCACUUUGUAUCUUACCAAAUGAGGUCAAAAUGAAGAUUCAAAUAAUUUUUUAAAAUUUCUUGCAGGUAGCAUCCUCCAAUUCUGGAGCAACCGAAUUGGGACAUACAGAAGCAGGCAACUUACCAUAGUUCUUGUUACUAACCUUUCUGAAGAAGUAGUGAUCUGCAACCAUGUCUGCUUGGCUCAGUCCUCAGUAAGACACAUGAAACUCAGACAUAGCCAAAGGAGCAGAAUAGUGAACAGGGAGCUGGAAUUGAUGCAUAUAUCAGUAGCAUCCUUGUUGGAGUGGCUGUCACUUGAAUUUGUUGGAGAUUGCUGGAGAAAACAGAAAGAAACUGAAACGGUGUAA
rnacentral:lncRNA from 1 species